GUAAAUACUUAACUCAAAUCUUUCCUGUAGAUGGUGUUUGUAAUGAGGUGUGUGACUGCAUCUUCCUGCAAGUUCGCAAGAAUUCCUAUGUGAUGUCUGUCGGCCGGGACUGGAAGAUUGACAUUUAUUCAGAUGUACCUGAGGAUUUUCAUCAUGUCCAGAGGCCACACCCUUCCUGGCAGGAUGAUCUG